CUGGUGUCAGCCGCCGCGUUUAAUACCAGCACCCCGAGUGGUCGGGACGAUUAUUGGGCCUAAAGCAUCCGUAGCCGGCCUUACAAGUCCCCCGUUAAAUCCAGCUGCUUAACAGAUGGGCUGCGGAGGAUACUAUAAGACUAGGAGGCAGGAGAGGCAAGCGGUACUCAGUGGGUAGGGGUAAAAUCCGUUGAUCCAUUGAAGACCACCAGUGGCGAAGGCGGCUUGCCAGAAUGCGCUCGACGGUGAGGGAUGAAAGCUGGGGGAGCAAACCGGAUUAGAUACCCGGGUAGUCCCAGCUGUAAACGAUGCAGACUCGGUGAUGGACUAGCUUUAUGCUGGUCCAGUGCCGCAGGGAAGCCGUUAAGUCUGCCGCCUGGGUAGUACGGUCGCAAGACUGAAACUUAAAG
rnacentral:rRNA from 2 species